UCCAAAAUUCCAAAAUUCUUUCAGCCAUUGUUCCUCGAAUUCUGGCAAACAGUGGUAUCCUGCAGGUGCUCGUGUAGCCUGCCUCGUGGGGACAUUCAACCGGGAAGCAGGUCCAUGAACAGGACAGAACCACACAGGCACAGCGACGUGAGGAAAACCCCAAAGAAUUGGUCAACGCAGACAUGAUCUUUCUUUCUUACUUCCUCCACUGAAGUUUUGAACCCCUCAAAGUCAUCCACAAGGGUUGGAAUCAACUUCUUCCAAACUCCUGUGAAUUUUGGUGUAUUGACUUCUUCCUAUGAGUCAUGAAUGUUCUUAAUGACAUCUAAAAUGCUAACACAACUACCCUUGGAAGGACCUGCUGCUCUUUCUGGCCCUCAAGAAUGGCUGGUGACUUAUGAGAGAUGAUGGACUCUGAAAAACAAACUGAG